rnacentral:lncRNA from 1 species
AGCACAGUCCUGGCUGCCAGGGCCCAUCCACAGCUCCAGCCAGGGAGCAGGACACUGGGCAUUGUCCCAAGCAUUUGGCAUCAGCCAGAGAUCAGGGAUGGGCCAUGGGCAAGGGUGGGCACUCAAAUGGGAUACAAAACUAUGUUUGGGGCUAGAUUCUGGUACAGUUGUAGCCUAAAAGCACUCAAAAAGUACCCACGUAGGCAAUAGGAUUGUACAUUGUUAAAUGAUGGAAAAUAAAAAAAUGCAUUAUUUUGUAACUAAGCAAGUUCCUGACACUGGGAUUUUUUACAGCAGAAUUAUGGCAGUAGGAAAGUCUUGAUGUUCUAUUACCUGGGACAUUUAAAAUUAAGCUGAUCACAACAUCAGCACAUGCACUGUGGGAAACACUCCAAAGAUAGAUAGGUAAUGCAGUGGAUAAAAGGGGUUUUCAAUCUCUUAUUAUGAUGAAAUUAUAGCUUGAAUUGUUCAGCAAGAAAAAGUUGCAUAGAUUCAUUACAUGCAAUUUAAAUCUUUCAGUUUUGCUACAUAUGCAAGGAACAAACUAAAUCCCAACAGGAUAUCACCAUACUGUGCCCGUGCCAUCCAGAAGUAAGACAUCUUAAAGCAUUUCUGAUAAAGACCUGAGAGCUGGUCAUUUGGAAAACUGGGCCCUUUGAACGAUCUUAAAUGGGACACACAUUGUGAUUCUCCUGUUGAAAAUUUAUUCUUGAAUUCCUGGUGCUUGCUUGAAGUUUACACUGCUAAGAAUACUGAAGACAGUGCAAAUACAUUUAUUUUCAGCAACAUCCUUCAUGGACAAGUGCUUAUAAGGGAUGAGGAGACUAUUUCCACAGUACACAAAAAUAUCUCUGGCAACAAUAGGAGCAGUCACUCCUUUGCUCAUCUGCAAGAUAAAAUGUUCUUCUGUAAAAUAGCAGGUAAUGGUAAUGCAGCUUUUGACCUUCAGCGGGGAAACUCAUUGCUGAGUCUUGAUCUUGGGUCUACAUGCUCUAUUUCCUUUGAGAAUGCCUAGAUAGUUACUGGAAGCUAUCACCCCAAUAACUGCUUUGAAUAUGAGACAGCUGAACUCCUGCUAAUAGCUCUGCCC